AUAACUCUAAGCCUUUAGAGAAUGCCCAUAACCCUCUCUUGUUCUUAAUGUACCGCCUCGGACUGCAAGUGGAUCAGGAARCCGUGCUGGAAUGGAAUCUUAAGCAGUACCUCUCCUUGCUGGCUGAAAACUUUUUAUUUUAUUUUUUUAGUUAGUCAUAGAUUUAAAAAAACCACAGAGAACAUCCCCUGCCCCAUGAGGUGAAUCUGGCUUUUGCCCUAGUUUCACAAGUCAUAUUUUGUUGGAGAAUGUAAGCUCCUAAAAUCAGUUUUGCAUUUGGGCCUUUAAUUCUUACGUGGAGUGCAAAUCCUGGCAUGUAACAUAGCAAAGGGUUGAUGUUUCUCAACAAAUCUAACAGUGACAGGUAGUAGCUAAAGACUCAAUUUAAAGAACAAAGGCUUAGUUGCACUGAGCACUGUGCAAACCUCAAGACRCCUUGCAGGAAUGAAGGCUGCUAUCMGCUGUUGGCCUGCCAAAAACUUGGAUUUUARCAUCUAAGCAAAGGAAGCAGAGGGAAGUGAUGUUGUGUGGCUAAUUGAGUAUAUUCCUUGUGUGUGCUAGGAGUGAUCAAUGGAUAAUAAAAGCAGGUUCGCAAGUGUCUGGUUAGUGUAUUAUCUGUAUUGAGUACUGUAUGCUACUUCCAAAUUGCCUUUCUUUGAAGACAGAGGAAAAUUCUCCCUUUUUUUGUGUUCGUUAGGAAAUUCCCCAACAACUUAAUGGAAGCGACUGUGGGGUUUUUAUGUGCAAAUAUGCAGAUUACAUCUCCAGAGACAAACCGAUCACUUUCACACAGAAUAACAUGCCUUACUUCCGCAGGAAGAUGGUGUGGGAAAUAAUCCAUCAGCAGCUGCUGUGAGACAUGCACUAUUAGAGUAACACUGUGAUCACCGUGUGGUGACUAACUCUCGUUUUAAUUAUUUUUCUAAUGCCUUAUUUCAAAAGGCACACAAAUUUUCCUCUUUAGGCUAUAAAGUAGUGGUUAAUUUUUUUUUCCAAAUUUURGAGACGGCAACUCUCUUUGAAAUCAGCUAGUGCACCAUAAGUGCAAGACAAAGACUGCUGUGUCCUUGCCCAAGGAAUGGUUAAGAACGGAUGCUAUGUGAACCUCUGCUCCUACCUUGCAGCACACGUGGGCCAGAUUACGGACAAAUGGGACUUUU
rnacentral:lncRNA from 1 species